AGACGAAUCAUCUGGAAAGAUGAAUCAAAGAAGGUAAUAAUCCUGUAGUCGAAAAUGUUGUCUCUCUUGAGUGGAUCCUGAGUACGACGGAGCACGUGAAAUUCCGUCGGAAUCUGGGAGGACCAUCUCCUAAGGCUAAAUACUCUCUAGUGACCGAUAGUGAACCAGUACCGUGAGGGAAAGGUGAAAAGCACCCCGGAAGGGGAGUGAAAUAGAACCUGAAACCGUGUGCUUACAAGUAGUCAGAGCCCGUUAAUGGGUGAUGGCGUGCCUUUUGUAGAAUGAACCGGCGAGUUACGAUUUGAUGCAAGGUUAAGCAGUAAAUGUGGAGCCGUAGCGAAAGCGAGUCUGAAUAGGGCGUUUAGUAUUUGGUCGUAGACCCGAAACCAGGUGAUCUACCCUUGGUCAGGUUGAAGUUCAGGUAACACUGAAUGGAGGACCGAACCGACUUACGUUGAAAAGUGAGCGGAUGAACUGAGGGUAGCGGAGAAAUUCCAAUCGAACCUGGAGAUAGCUGGUUCUCUCCGAAAUAGCUUUAGGGCUAGCCUCAAGUGAUGAUUAUUGGAGGUAGAGCACUGUUUGGACGAGGGGCCCCUCUCGGGUUACCGAAUUCAGACAAACUCCGAAUGCCAAUUAAUUUAACUUGGGAGUCAGAACAUGGGUGAUAAGGUCCGUGUUCGAAAGGGAAACAGCCCAGACCACCAGCUAAGGUCCCAAAAUAUAUGUUAAGUGGAAAAGGAUGUGGCGUUGCCCAGACAACUAGGAUGUUGGCUUAGAAGCAGCCAUCAUUUAAAGAGUGCGUAAUAGCUCACUAGUCGAGUGACACUGCGCCGAAAAUGUACCGGGGCUAAACAUAUUACCGAAGCUGUGGAUUGUCCUUUGGACAAUGGUAGGAGAGCGUUCUAAGGGCGUUGAAGCAUGAUCGUAAGGACAUGUGGAGCGCUUAGAAGUGAGAAUGCCGGUGUGAGUAGCGAAAGACGGGUGAGAAUCCCGUUCACCGAUUGACUAAGGUUUCCAGAGGAAGGCUCGUCCGCUCUGGGUUAGUCGGGUCCUAAGCUGAGGCCGACAGGCGUAGGCGAUGGAUAACAGGUUGAUAUUCCUGUACCACCUAUAAUCGUUUUAAUCGAUGGGGGGACGCAGUAGGAUAGGCGAAGCGUGCGAUUGGAUUGCACGUCUAAGCAGUAAGGCUGAGUAUUAGGCAAAUCCGGUACUCGUUAAGGCUAAGCUGUGAUGGGGAGAAGACAUUGUGUCUUCGAGUCGUUGAUUUCACACUGCCGAGAAAAGCCUCUAGAUAGAAAAUAGGUGCCCGUACCGCAAACCGACACAGGUAGUCAAGAUGAGAAUUCUAAGGUGAGCGAGCGAACUCUCGUUAAGGAACUCGGCAAAAUGACCCCGUAACUUCGGGAGAAGGGGUGCUCUUUAGGGUUAACGCCCAGAAGAGCCGCAGUGAAUAGGCCCAAGCGACUGUUUAUCAAAAACACAGGUCUCUGCUAAACCGUAAGGUGAUGUAUAGGGGCUGACGCCUGCCCGGUGCUGGAAGGUUAAGAGGAGUGGUUAGCUUCUGCGAAGCUACGAAUCGAAGCCCCAGUAAACGGCGGCCGUAACUAUAACGGUCCUAAGGUAGCGAAAUUCCUUGUCGGGUAAGUUCCGACCCGCACGAAAGGCGUAACGAUUUGGGCACUGUCUCAACGAGAGACUCGGUGAAAUCAUAGUACCUGUGAAGAUGCAGGUUACCCGCGACAGGACGGAAAGACCCCGUGGAGCUUUACUGUAGCCUGAUAUUGAAAUUCGGCACAGCUUGUACAGGAUAGGUAGGAGCCUUUGAAACGUGAGCGCUAGCUUACGUGGAGGCGCUGGUGGGAUACUACCCUAGCUGUGUU
rnacentral:rRNA from 1 species